rnacentral:rRNA from 1 species
CCAGCAGCCGCGGUAAUUCCAGCUCCAAUAGUGUAUACUAAAGUUGUUGCAGUUAAAAAGCUCGUAGUUGGACAUCGGAAGGUGAGGUGUUGGUCUACACACAUAGUGUACGAACUGACACCUUGCUUCCUUUCUUCUGAUAACUCUUUUGAGUUUCAGAUCAUUUACUUUGAGUAAAUUAGAGUGUUCAAAGCAGGCGUAACCUAGCCUUUGAAUAUAAUUAGCAUGGGAUAAUGAAAUAAGACUUUUUGCCUUAUUCUCGUUGGUUCUUAAGGCUAAAGUAAUGAUUAAUAGGGAUAGUUGGGGCCAUUAGUAUUAAAUCGUCAGAGGUGAAAUUCUAAGAUCGAUUUAAGACUAACUAGU